ensembl:lncRNA
CCGCCCCCCGAGCGCGCGGGGCGCCGGUUGGGCCCUCGGGGUGGGAUGGCGGCGGUUGGGAGUUCGCAGCUUCCUCCUGAGGUUCAAAUACUUAGGAAGGAUGGGAUAGAGCAAGCCAUUUUCACUUGACAACUAAUUCUUCAGUGCACUGUGCACUCUAAGGACCAGCAAGCCUUGUGGCCAGCAGUCCAGACUGCCAGCAUCAACCCUGCUGCCUGCAAUUGCAGCUGGGGCAGGAUGCUUUGGGCCAGUAAUGAAGAAAAAAUGAACAACCUGCAAGAAGGAAGGUUUUCUUUCCUAGCUGUGUGCAGGCAGACCCUAAAAACAGAAGCAGAACUGUGGACCUGAUACGUGCAGCAGGUGAGGUCGUCAGGAGACAGAAUGACUCUUACUGAGCCCGUCUUGAAGACAGUCACUGCUGUAGAAGAGCACUGAAGCACAGUAGUUUGCGUAGCGCUGGAUUUCCAACUUUGCCUUCGUAUGGCAUAGAAAAAUCCAGAGAAAUGCAAGAGAGCAGCUGAAGAGUGCAGGCCUGCAAGGAAGUCAAACUGAGUGAGCAUAGGCGAUCACAUCCCACUUCUUAAGGCCUCGGUUUUGCAGUCCCACUGAAAUGCUAUUUGUACCUGGGCUCGUGCAAGGAGAUGGGCUGUGUUUGUGACUGGUUUCCUGUGCUGAGUGAUGCUGUCACUGACUCGUGCAAGCAGCGCCCUGACAGCCAUGCUGCCUUCCUCCAGCAGCUGCGAGCAAGGAUUGCUUCUGUGCGCCCAGUUUUCUCGCAACGUAACUGCAGCGGCGUUCCACCUAUCUCCCAGUUCAGGCAAAUAAGAAUCCUCAGCGUUUUCAGGUGAAAGAAGUCCCUUCUCCUGUAAAGAGCCAGCGCCCUUGGGGUAAGGACAGACGGACCAAGCCAGCAAGGAAGUGAUGCCCGUUGGCUCCGCUUGACCUUGAGCAGCCAUCCACUGGAAAACAGCAUUUCUGCUGCCCCCUGCUGCAGGGGUCCUGUGUCCAGGGGAAGGGUUACCCUUCAGACACUGCAGGUCAGCCGGAGCAAGCCGUUCGAAGGAAUACGAUGGGGUGAAGAGGGUGCACGUCUGCAGUGUAAAACCGUCUUGAGUCCACCUGCAGCUUCUGAAACGGGUAGAUGUGAAUUCCCUCUUCUCACAGAAGGGAAGGGGCAGCUCGGAGCAGGUUUCCCUCCAGUGCACUCCGUGGGGCUGAAGAUCUUCUUCAGCGGGCCCAGGAGCAGACAUAAGUGUGAGCACAGAUUGUUUUGCCCGGGACGAAAGGACACGCUGGACCUUGGGUGUGGUUUGUCAUGGCUAAGAUCUCAGGGACUUGUGGCCAUUGGGAUGGCACACUCAGACACAUACAUGAUGCCAUCAGAAGCAGGCCAGCAGAGGAGAAAAUAGCCCAUGAAGUUAGUAUAAGAGGACAUGGCAGAUCUAAUGGGCGACUUCCGUUGACUGGAGGCAACGUUUGUUUUCCCAACCAGGAGUGAAAAGUUAAUCCUGGUAGGGAGAAAUCUGUUGCGGUGCUCUGCAGGAUUUCUCUUACUUCAUUAAACUCUGACAUCUCAGAGGGCAAAUCCACAUCGUUACAUUGUCACUUCUGCCUGAAAAUAUGCGUGCCGGUUCUUAAAGUAAGCUUAUUUUUCCUUCUUACUUUGUGAGUGUAAUCAUGCAAUAAAUCGAACUGAG